rnacentral:rRNA from 1 species
AGUGAACGCUGGCGGCAGGCCUAAUACAUGCAAGUCGAACGGCAGCACAGCAGAGCUUGCUCUGUGGGUGGCGAGUGGCGGACGGGUGAGGAAUACAUGGGAAUCUGCCCAGUCGUGGGGGAUAACGUAUGGAAACGUACGCUAAUACCGCAUGCGCCCUACGGGGGAAAGCCGGGGACCGCAAGGCCUGGCGCGAUUGGAUGAGCCCAUGUUCGAUUAGCUAGUUGGCGGGGUAAAGGCCCACCAAGGCGACGAUCGAUAGCUGGUCUGAGAGGAUGAUCAGCCACACUGGAACUGAGACACGGUCCAGACUCCUACGGGAGGCAGCAGUAGGGAAUAUUGGACAAUGGGGGCAACCCUGAUCCAGCCAUGCCGCGUGAGUGAAGAAGGCCCUCGGGUUGUAAAGCUCUUUUGUCCGGAAAGAAAGCAAUCGGUUAAUACCCGGUUGUUCUGACGGUACCGGAAGAAUAAGCACCGGCUAACUUCGUGCCA